GUCGUCUAUGUGCUUUCCGUCCACCGCCACCAUUCACCAUGUCUUCGCCUCCCACAAGCGUUCCCAUCCCCAUCCUUGUCUUUGUCGUAGCCGUAAUCGUUUCGCUCAUCCCCGUCAUUUGUCUUUGCCGCAGCCUUAAUCUUUUCAUUCAUACUUAUUAUUAUUCUACUCCAACUCAUCCUUAUUCUCAACUUCAUCGACCUCCUCUUCGUCAAAUUUGUAUUUGCUAUCCUGAACGCCUGUAGCUAAGUUGAAGCCAGUGUACUUUUGGUUUUAUUUGUCCACCGCCAGUGCUGUGAAGCCCUCCAGAUUUCGCAAUUUAGAUUGUUGUCUGGAGAUAUCUACAUAGCUCAGGUGUUUUCCCAAAGAUUCAUCAGGAUUUUACCUCUAAUUUCAGAGCUAAAAAGAACUUCUGGUGUCUUUGCGGAAAUCGCUUGGGCUGGUAUAGUGUCCUAUUUGCUGCUAUACAUGCUUGCGAGUCAUAAUGCUCCAGGAGUUUCCAAGAAGCAAAGUCGUCCAACAUCAUCGAUCACUAUCAUUCAUGAUCUAAUUCAGCAAGCAAUGGUCCUUCUAACAUAUCGAGUCAAGAUGGAGCAAAAGGUGCAACUACUAACUCCGAUAAUGAAUUGCAAGGUAGUUCACACUUUUUUUUAGAUACAUAUGUUUUUGUAAAUCGUAAAUAAAUCUACUUGUUUUAAUAGUCAAAUGUUGUGGAAAGACUAAAGGAAAAGGUACAGAUAGAUAUGUUAAAGCACAUGGAAAAAUUCCUGUACACAUCCCUGAAGAAAAAGGAAGGCCAACAAAUAGGAUAGUGUCAACAAUGUUCUCAAAUGAACUCGGCAUCGCACUAUUCUUGAAGGAACACCUUAUUUAAGCAAGUUGGUGGGAAAAUACAAGGAUGUUAUAUUAGAGCGCAUAAAAGUAUUCUUAUAUGCUUCAAUAUGAUAGUAUUUGUUUCAAUUUAUAAUAAAACUGCAUUUAGAAAAAUUUAAUAGCAGUUUGAUAAAUAUUUUUAGCCGUCAUUCAAGUAAUCUUUAUGUUGUUUGCGCUAUAAUUUUUGUGCUAAUUUUUCAAUAGUUGUAAAUGCAUCAUUUAGUUACCCUUUCAUAGUUUUCAUGAAGUUUUUAUCGUUUUUCUUAGCUUUAUUUAUAGUAUAUUUGACUUAGAAUAUAUAUGUUUGAACUGAAAUACUGGAUCGAUUUGAUUUGAUUGACGAAGGGCCAUAUGUUGCAAGGUUUGUAAUACCAUGCUUGGCAAUCAUUAUAGAGAUCAUAAAUGUAGGCUUCAUAAAAAAUGGAAAACUUGCAUUAAAGACGGAAACUCAUAUGAUUGGGCCCGUGCUAAUCCUCCUAAAGAAAUAGAUUCAAAAGACUAGGAACUAUGUUGCAAUUUAUGGGAAGAUCCAGAUUAUUACGUAUUAUUUUCAAAAUUGCAAACUAAAUUGUAAGCUGUAGUUCUUAAAUUUUUUUCUAAAUAGUAAUGUCAAAUGUCAUUACAAAACACUAUUUAUUCAAUAUGCUCCAAAAUAUUUUAUGACAAUGUUUCUUAAUUUUGUAAACAUAGAAAAAGUGUGCUCAGAAUACUAAAAAUAGGGCAAAGAAUGAUUCAAAGCACUGUAUGGGUUCUAUGUCAUUUGUUGCCGCUCGUCAUGAAAUGGUAGCCUUUCUUUUCUAUAUUAUUAUUCUCUUUAUAGCAUAGGCAAAGAACACUAAUCUAGAAUAUAUGAUAGGGAGAUCCUGAUCGUAUUAAUUCUUUGGAAAAAUAUAUGGUGGACCGGACAAAAAUGCAUUUAAAACUGAGUUGGCAAAGGAUAAAUACGUAUGAACUACAUUUCUUUACUGGUUAAAUCAUUCUUACUUUUCAAAUGGUUGUUUACUAAUACUUGUAAUUAUUGACACUAAAAAAUAAUGGUAGUCAAGUAUGCAAGAGUUGAGAGAUUGUUUUGAAGAAAUGAAUGCAGAUGAAAUUGUUGACACUGUUCUUAUGAAGAAGUUAGGGCGCAUAACUGGCCUUGGUUUUGGCCCUAGGCCAAUAGAUUUCAAAUUUGGAAGAGAUGAAUCUUCUAAAAUUUCUGAUCAUUUAACACAUGAGCUUGAAGCAGUCAAAACUGUAGCGCAGUCCCAGUAACAGAAAA